CUCUCUCUCUCUCUCCCUCUCACCCCCUCUCUCUCUCUUCCUCUCUCCUCUCUGUCUCUCCUUUUGCCAUCUACAUGAUCCUUGAUUAAACAUGGAACAGAGUUAAUAAAAGGGGGGGAGGACUCAAGGAGAGGAAAUGCAACUGUCAGAAAUCGGGACGGCCAGAUUUCCUGGUGAACCUGCCUCUGUCUGAGUCAGUGUCAAUCCACCAUCUUCUGCCAGUGAACUUGUCUUUGGGUUUUUGUUUGGUGUGUGUGUGUGUGGGGGGUAAGAUGUUGUGUGUAUGUGUGUGUGUGUGUGCUUUUUUGGAAGUGGGGAGGGGAAGACAAUGUGAGGGCUGGAGGUGGGGGGAGAGUAGGGAGAAUGUGUGUGUGUCUGUGAGUGUGUGUUGAGUGUGAGUGUGUCUCUGUGUGUGUAGGGGUCGAGGUGGGGGGGGGUCCGUGUUUGCGAUCUGAACCUUUGGUACCUACAAGGAGGGUGUCUCACCGAACGGUAGCUAAAACCUCAACAGAACCGCGCGGAAGUGAGAAGUCGCGGCCAAAGGCGCCCGCCGAAACCUCCUCUCUGGGCCGGACCCCAGCCGGAGCGGCCGAAAGGAGCCCCCCGCCCGGAUCACAGAACUUUACAAGGAAAGGGGAAAUGUUGGAAAUGGAGAUGCACAACCUUGUCUUGAAGCAGAAGACUCAGCUAGAGCACAUCUGGACAUGCCUGGCAUUCCUCAAUAUAAUUCAAAUGAUAUUUUAAAAAGUCCUGCAGAAAAGAAGAUGCUGGCUGGCUGGCUGAUAAUGUUAAGUUGGAACAUCUUGGUGUAUCCAGAUCGUCCUGGGAGUGUCUCUAGGGGCAGGCUGCAGAGCUCCAACCUUCUUCCUGGACCAUGCAACAGAAGCAGAUUUAAGGAUGGCCCCAGACUGAGAGAGAUGGAGACAGAGAUAGAGAUAGAGAAGCUACAUAAUAUGACCAACAUAGAACCUAACUGUGGUAUUCUCCAGCAUUGCUCAGCCUUUCCUUCUCUGGACGUGACAACAUUACUAAGAAAGGAAGAGAAAAAGAUCUGCUUUCAGGGAGGUUCCAUCACUGGGGAGAGCCCCUAAUGGAAGUCCUUGCUUUGGUUACAUGGCAUAUGUUUAAUAAAUAAAAAGAUGCUCAUCUGGACUCCUGUACCAGUUAUCAUGUACUAAAUAAGGUUACCUAUUUCACUCUCCAUGUAGAAGCAUCUUUCAUAAACAUGUGACACAGAAGAUUUUACAAGUAUCAUUAUUGGCUGUGUUGAUUUUUUUUUGUUCUAUUUUAUCAGAUCUGUAGUCUUACAUUCAAUGAGGAAGCAUUUUCUCAGGUUCUCAAGAAAGUAACAAAAUGCCAGCAUUG